rnacentral:lncRNA from 1 species
GACUAAGGAAACCACUAAACCAGCUUCCCAGGACAGCAACGUGAACUUCUCUUCUUGCUUGUACGAUAAUUGAAGGAGAUUCUUGUUCUUUUGCUCUUUCUACCUUUGGUCUCCAAUUAUGUUAGUAUGUCAAUUUGUCAAAUAAUAGUUGGUAUUGUUGAGUCAAGAAUCCAGCUUUCCGGGGCAGCGACGUGAACUUCUCUUCUUGCUUGUAUAUAUCUUUGUUAUGUUUUGAGGAAUCUUGCUUGUAUCAUCGUUAACAGGAAUAAUAUAAUUUCUUUCGAGGGAUACUGGGACGUAUUGCAAGGUUUCCAAAGGUCAAUAUAAGCAGAUUACUUUACUCCUUGAAAAAUUUUCCCAUUUCUCAGUUUAAGAGGGAAAAAAAAUACAAACAAAUUAAGCUAUGUCGUCUCGUGCUCUGAAGAAGACUUGUGUACAUCGUUUCGUAAAGUGGUCCAGCUCUGACAAGAAAUCGCACAUGUCGUGUUGGACCGCACCUUGGAGUUCAACACGUGCAAACCGAUACAAGCACGAGCAAUAACCAUUCCUGACAUUUAACAUAGACAAACAUGAUCGCUAUGGAUAUGUAGUAGUGGAAGAAUAGGGAAGAAGUCCUCUGGUGCAGACACCAGAAAAAUCAUACUAGAUGGAUUUUCUAUUUUAUCAUAUUUUUUAAUAUUUAUUUAAAAAAUUUAU